CAGUACAGAAAAGAUUAGCAUGGCCCCUGCAUAAAGAUGACAGGCAAAUUUGUGAAGCAUUCUAUAUUAAA
rnacentral:snRNA from 1 species